rfam:Gossypium hirsutum cultivar TM-1 unplaced genomic scaffold scaffold2140.1, whole genome shotgun sequence
UGUUAAAAUUUUCAUCCACUUAUACUGUUAAAAACUAGCAUAGCUGACAAAAUAACCGUAUAGUUAAAUGUGAUGUGCUAUGUGUACCUCAUGUUAAUGUACAUUGACUAGUUUUUAAUAGUAGAAGUAGAUGGAACUUUUAACA